rnacentral:rRNA from 1 species
AACGAACGCUGGCGGCAUGCCUAACACAUGCAAGUCGAACGAGACCUUCGGGUCUAGUUGCGCACGGGUGCGUAACGCGUGGGAACCUUCCCUUAGGUUCGGAAUAACUCCCCGAAAGGGGUGCUAAUACCGGAUAAUGUCUUCGGACCAAAGAUUUAUCGCCUUUGGAUGGGCCCGCGUUGGAUUAGCUAGUUGGUAGGGUAAAAGCCUACCAAGGCGACGAUCCAUAGCUGGUCUGAGAGGAUGAUCAGCCACACUGGGACUGAGACACGGCCCAGACUCCUACGGGAGGCAGCAGUGGGGAAUAUUGGACAAUGGGCGAAAGCCUGAUCCAGCAAUGCCGCGUGAGUGAUGAAGGCCUUAGGGUUGUAAAGCUCUUUUAGCCGGGAUGAUAAUGACAGUACCGGGAGAAUAAGCUCCGGCUAACUACGUG